AGCGAACGCUGGCGGCAGGCCUAACACAUGCAAGUCGAACGAACCUUUCGGGGUUAGUGGCGGACGGGUGAGUAACACGUGGGAACGUGCCUUUAGGUUCGGAAUAACUCAGGGAAACUUGUGCUAAUACCGAAUGUGCCCUUCGGGGGAAAGAUUUAUCGCCUUUAGAGCGGCCCGCGUCUGAUUAGCUGGUUGGUUGAGGUAAUGGCUCACCAAGGCGACGAUCAGUAGCUGGUCUGAGAGGAUGGUCAGCCACAUUGGGACUGAGACACGGCCCAAACUCCUACGGGAGGAAGCAGUGGGGAAUCUUGCGCAAUGGGCGAAAGCCUGACGCAGCCAUGCCGCGUGAAUGAUGAAGGUCUUAGGAUUGUAAAAUUCUUUCAGCGGGGACGAUAAUGACGGUACCCGGAGAAGAAGCCCCGGCUAACUUCGUG
rnacentral:rRNA from 1 species